rnacentral:rRNA from 1 species
CCCUUAGAUGUUCUGGGCCGCACGCGCGCUACACUGACGGAGGCAGCGAGCAUGUCCUUCGCCGAGAGGUGUGGGGAAUCUUGUGAGUCUCCGUCGUGCUGGGGAUAGAUGGUUGCAAUUGUCGAUCUUGAACGAGGAAUUCCUAGUAAGCGCGAGUCAUCAGCUCGCGCUGAUUACGUCCCUGCCCUUUGUACACACCGCCCGUCGCUACUACCGAUUGAAUCGUUUAGCGAGAAUUUUGGAUCGGAGCCCUGGUGGGCAGCGAUGUCCGCCUGGGAUUUACCGAGAAAUCAUUCCAGCUUGCCGAUUUAGAGGAAGUAAAAGUCGUAACA